rnacentral:lncRNA from 1 species
AGGAAAGGUGUUGGGACUUCUUCCCAGCUGGAGACUGCUUCCGUAAGCAAUAUGAAGAUCAGCUCGGGUAAACCUGGGCUCACAACAAGCUACGAUUCUGGACAGUCACCUUCUAAUGCAACAGAAUCCUUUCUUUACACUUAACAGCAACAAGUAUAUUUGGUAAUUGAUUUGGCUUUUGUGCCCAAUGGACACGCAAAGGAUGGCAAAGUGCCAAGGACUCCACCUGAUUGCUAACACAGCUCUUGGUUCUAAAAACGGCUAGUUCGCUGGGAUGGUUCAGAGAAAUGUGAAGUCUUGAACACCUGAACGUCAUGCAAGAGGACCCUACCAGGGAUUGAUGGGCAGAACUACACAAAUUCAUGUUCAACUCAUGUUAACUGAGAUCUAAUUUUUCCAUGGUACUUGCUAGUGACUGUAUCCAGAAUCAGCUUGAAAAGCUUUAAGCAGCUAAAGAAAUAGAAAACAAACACUUUGUCGAAACUGAAAUAUCGAUUAAGUGCCUUAAAAUCUCUUUAGAUAUAGCUAUGCAAGUUUUUUAUGUUUGUGUUUCAGAAAGACAUCUCCAUUAAACAGCUCUGCUGCUCUUCUGUCUUACUUUAUGAAACUGCACUUGGAGGUUACUCACCUAAUUUCUUCAGUAACAGCUUGUCAACUGCUGUUAUUUGAAGAAAGGCACUGUACUGAACUUUCAGAAAAAUCUCAAUCUUAUACCAAACUCGAGUGAUGCUUUAUGGUCCAAUGUAAGUAGUGGAGCUGCCAUGUUUUAGGUCAAUCUCCAAUAAAAUGAAGUGCCCACUGCAAUAAAGUAACACAUGCCAGUU